AUUCAUAUCAUAGUCUAAUGCUUUUCCUUGAGAAGAAGCAGAAAGCGAAGUGUAGAGUUAAGUUGCCUACGACGAAAGAAAGAGAAAGAGAAAGAGAAGAAGAGAAUCACUUGACGCAGCUUUACAAAGCCAUCCUUUUCCCUACCAACAAAACAACUCCUCUUGGCAUAUAAUUGAAACGGAAACGGAUGCUUCUCUUUCAUCCAUCCAACAAGUUUCAGAAACAAUCAUGUCUUCCACCCCUCCUCCCAAUGUAACUGGUGGUAAUGGCAACAGAGACUUCAACCUCUACUGGUGUUACCAAUGCCAUCGAACCGUCAGAAUUGCAUCUGACAAUCCCUCCGGGGUUGUCUGCCCUCGCUGCUCCGGCCGGUUUCUGUAUGAAAUUGACAUGUCAAGGCCCCGCCCCGUUCUUGAAUUCACUGCAUUUGAUCCCUCUCCCGAGGCCCGAAUUCUGGAAGCUUUGGCUCUCAUGCUUGAUCCUCCGCUUGGAGCUGGAUCGCGCACUCCUAGAACCCAUCCGGGCCCGGAUUUGGCCCAAAUACGGAUCAAUGGGCGGGGAAGACACCGCCGACGGGACUCGGAAGAAGCUGGAAAUGGUGGCUGGUUUCGGGCCAGAAGGAGAAACUCGAGUUUGUUUGAUGAGGACUUACAAGAGGCUGGAAACCGAAGCUGGUUUCGGCCCAGGAGGAGGAAUAGUUUGUUUGACGAGGACAGCGAUGGUUGGGGUCCUGAAAGUGGGAUUCUAGCCCGGCCCAGAACUUGGAUCAUCCUUCGGCCCGUACGUCCCCCACCUGCAGGCCCCAAUCUACCUCGAGAAAGGCUAGUCCCACCGGGUGUGGACCCUCGAAACUACUUCACCGGGCCAGGAUUGCAAGAACUCAUUGAAGAACUGACUCAGAAUGACAGGCCCGGCCCCCCACCAGCACCUGAUUCAGUAAUCAAUGCUAUUCCCACGAUUAAAGUUGGCCCAAACCAUUUGCAAACGGACUCGGAGUGUCCAGUUUGUAAGGAAGAAUUCAAAGUUGGGAUGGAAGCAAGAGAGCUGCCCUGCAACCACAUCUACCAUCCUGAUUGCAUCAUCCCGUGGCUGAGGCUCCACAAUUCUUGCCCUGUCUGCCGCCAUGAGCUCACAGUCCCAUGUGAAGAUCGGGAGAUCGAGUCGGGUGAGAGGUCUAGUGAAUCUCAUGAUGAAGGAAGCAGGGAGCAGCAGCAGAGGUGUUGGCGGCUGAGGCAGCUGGCCAAUUUGUGGCCCUUCAGGUCCAGGUAUCGGCCACUUCAGUCACACAGCAAUGGGGCUGCCACCCCACGUCACCGCGGUGAGGACUGAACUCAACUGUGAUGGAUCCAUUCCGCAAAUACAAGAUUAUAGCUGUACAAAAAUCUGAAUCAUGGAGGUGUACUAUUCUUUAAAGCACGAAGCAAAAGCACCAAGAAGUUCAAUGGUAUCACCCUCGGUUUUAAUGUUGAAAUCCAGAAGGAUAAGCAGCAGCCAAGUACUACAACGUCCUGACUAUAUUAAGAUUGUCAUGAUGCAGCAGAACCAAAUCAAGGUUGCUUAACUGAUAAAACAUGAAGGGUCAUGAAUUCAAUGGAAAUCUUGUAAUAAUCCGAAACUGUCACCCUAAGUCGACCAGACUAAAGAAUGGCAUUAGUUCAAGCCGUAUUACAUAUG